CACGUAGGGGGCGAGCGUUGUCCGGAUUUAUUGGGCGUAAAGAGCUCGUAGGCGGCUCAGUAAGUCGGGUGUGAAAACUCCAGGCUCAACCUGGAGACGCCACCUGAUACUGCUGUGGCUAGAGUCCGGUAGGGGAGCAUGGAAUUCCUGGUGUAGCGGUGAAAUGCGCAGAUAUCAGGAAGAACACCUAUGGCGAAGGCAGCUCUCUGGGACGGUACUGACGCUGAGACGCGAAAGCGUGGGGAGCGAACAGG
rnacentral:rRNA from 1 species